GGAAUAUUGCACAAUGGGGGAAACCCUGAUGCAGCGACGCCUCGUGAGUGAAUCAGCAUUUCGGUAUGUAAAGCUCUAUCAGCAGUAAAGAAUAUGACGGUACCUGACUAAGAAGCCCCGGCUAACUACGUGCCAGCAGCCGCGGUAAUACGUAGGGGGCAAGCGUUAUCCGGAUUUACUGGGUGUAAAGGGAGCGUAGACGGUGAAGCAAGUCUGAAGUGAAAGGCGGGGGCUCAACCCCUGGACUGCUUUGGAAACUGUUUGACUGGAGUGCAGGAGAGGUAAGUGGAAUUCCUAGUGUAGCGGUGAAAUGCGUAGAUAUUAGGAGGAACACCAGUGGCGAAGGCGGCUUACUGGACUGUAACUGACGUUGAGGCUCGAAAGCGUGGGGAGCAAACA
rnacentral:rRNA from 1 species